rnacentral:lncRNA from 1 species
AGGUUUAGAUGAAUGGAAAAUGAACUUGCCAGUUCACAGCUAUGUCCUUCCCAAUUUAGGAGGUUAAGGGCAGGAAAAACAUGAGAAACUCUUUUGAGAAGCUGCACAAGCUGACAUGGAGGAUCAAGGAUUUCAAAAGCUUUGAAUAUAAAGAGGUGUCAGACUUACAUCAGAGCCUGAGACUUGACAUGCCUAUUUUUGCACUCGCUCAUUUUUCAAAUUUCAUAGGCAUUGCUCCCUCCAAAUCACCGCUCUUCUAAUUUUAUCCUGGAGUGUGCAUCCCAGAAGACAUAAGCUGACACAAUUGGGAACUGAAGUUGCUUGAAAAAGCUGGUGGUAAGAUUAGACUCUAGACAGCUUAUACGUAUUUGGACAAGGCAACGUGAUGAAGAAAUAAUAUAAUUGUAGGAUCACCUCUGUCCAGUAGCUGUUAUCCAACAUCUGCAUACUUAGAUUUCUGGAGAGAUAUCCAUGAAUGACCAUGAAAGUACAGCAAGUGAUUUUCAAGCUGCAAACAAAUUUUAGCAAACAAAUUCUCCUGUUUCCCAGGCUGGAGUGCAGUGGUGCGAUCUGGGCUCACUUCAUCCUAUGCCUCCCAGGCUCAAGCGAUCCUCCUGCCUCCACCACUGGAAUAACUGGGACUACAAACUCACACCACCAUGCCUAGUUAAUUUCUGUAUCUUUUUGAGUAGAGAUAGUGUUUUGCCAUGUUAUCCAGGGUGGCCUCCAACCCGGGAGCUCAAGCCAUCCACCCUCUUCGGCCUCCCAAAGUGCUGGGAUUGCAAGCAUGAGCCACUGCACUGGCUAAUUCUUUAUUUUAAUGUUCAUGUUUUCAUUAGGCAAUUUCAGUACACCCAAGUGUAUUUUGAGAAGUGAUUCACUUUUAAUCUCUCCUAGUUUCUUUCAAUUAUGGCCGCAAAAUUCAUUAACGUUGUAUGACUGAUUUAAGGAAAUGCUGUUGCAUUAGUGAGUAUCUACUUUUAUAAACCUAAAAUAGUUUCUUACCUCAUGUCUCCUUACAAUCAUCUGAUUAUAGACAGUAUCAAUUCUAUGAACUUGCAUACUUCCAAAAAGAAAA